rnacentral:tRNA from 1 species
UCCCUGGUGGUUCAGUGGUAAAGAAUCUGCCUGCCAAUGCAGGGGACACAGGCUCGAUCCCUGUCCAGGAAG